rnacentral:rRNA from 1 species
GGAAUCUUCCACAAUGGACGAAAGUCUGAUGGAGCAACGCCGCGUGAGUGAAGAAGGGUUUCGGCUCGUAAAACUCUGUUGUUAAAGAAGAACAUAUCUGAGAGUAACUGUUCAGGUAUUGACGGUAUUUAACCAGAAAGCCACGGCUAACUACGUGCAAG